CUUCCCCUCCCCUCCCUCGUGGCUCAGGCUGCCCGAGGCUGAGUCAUCGCCGCGGACGCUGCCCGGAGAGCUGGCGAGCAGGGCAGAUCUGUACUAAGGAAUUGAGCAGAAGUAGAGUGUACAGCAGCCUGACACUGGAGGUGAUGGUAGCUUCUCAGGAUCUUUCCCUUGGAGUUGGAGUGGAAUACAGAACUAGGUCUGUCCAGGUUGUCCCUGGGAGAUGCCUUGGAGAAGCCCAGCCCCAGACUUCCAUCCUGAAGAUCUUCAUCCAGGUGUGUUUGGAUUGACUGCUCAGUGCUAGGCACUGUGUUUGCUGCUGAGUGCUGGACAGAGAGGGGAACAAGGCUCAGCCCUUGCCCACAAGGAUCUUGCCAUGCACAACAAAUAUACCAUCUGACCAGCUCUCUGAGAAGCUGCAAGUUUACAGCUUUGACAUCCACUUGAAAGAACAAUGCCAUGCCUGCUUCCACAGUGUACAGAUUUUAAGUUUACAGUGCAAUGAGUUUUGACAAACAUAAACCCCUAUGAAUGACAAGAUUUUGAUACACAGUCAGCUAAUUUAGAGAAAUUGCAAGAGUCCACAGAGCUGUUGGAAAGAGAAUGGAGUUUGGAGUCAAGAGACCUGGUUACCAAGUCAAGCCUCACAUUAACCAGCUGUGUGACUUUGGGCCUGUGCCCUCGCCUCUCUAGGCCUUGGUUUCUGAUCUGUUCAGUGAAGAGGCUGUCUCUGGGUCCACAUGGCAUAACAGGUAUUGAACAAAGGUCACACAAGAUUCCUGACAUUAUGCAGAGCUACUGUGUCCUGCUGAUAUUUGCAAAAGUGAACGUGCACCACCUGGAUCCUGCCAAUCAAACUGCUGAAGAAGAGAAACUGAAGAAACAAUAACUAUAACAAUAAACAAAGAUGGCAGAAA